ensembl:lncRNA
GAGAAAACAACAAACAAGCAAAACCCAACAUGUAUUUAUCAUUUUCAUUUCCAGUGUAUCAGAAAAUCUGUGACACAGAAGCAGAUUUUCCCAAUCUUUUCUCUGCUAUGAACAAUUAUUGUGAAUUCCAAAGCAUAUUUGGGGAUGACACCCACCCAAACUCAUCCGACCUUUCUUUAUGAGAAUUCUGGCUACUCAAGUAUGUAGAUUACUCAAAAAAUAAUGUUUCCCAUUUAUUUCUAUGGAAUCUACACAAGAUACGCAGUAACACUAUCUGAUAGAGCAAAUUCUCAGAUACAAAACACUGUUUUUCAAUGUAGUGACCUCCAUCUUGUAUGUAUGUAUCUUGUAUGUAUGCCACUGAUGAGCAAGAGCUUACAUGCCACGCUCAUAAAAAUCUGCACCAGAGGAGGGCACCCAUUGUUUCACAGCUUCUGUGAUGACAUUGUUACUAGGAAAAUGUUGUCCACACAGUCCAUCUUUCAUUGGCAUGAACAGAUGGAAAUCAAAAGAUGCCAAAUCUGGACCAUGUGGUGGCGUGGUUGGAUGGUCCAGCCAAGACUGGCAGUGUGCUCCAGGGUCUUCCAUCUGAUAUGGGUCCUGAUGUCAUUGUGUUGCAGGAUAAGGAUUGUCUGCUUCUCUGGCCUAACUCUAUAUGUGUGAACCUUCAGCUAAGGCAGCAUCAUGACAUAGUGGUCAGAACUGAUGGUUUGUCCAAGUUCCAGGAAAUCCAGAAGGAUCACCAUUUUCUAUCUCAAAAGACAGUGCACAUCACUUUACCCACUGAGGGCUGUCUUGAACUUUUUAUUUGAUGGGGAAUUCACAUGUUGCCACACAUGGACUGCCAUUUUGACUCUGGCUAGUAGUGGUGACAUCAUGUCUUAUCACCAGUACUGAUGUGAUUUAGGAAACUGUCACCUUCAGCAUCAUAUUAUUGGAAUAGAUCCUGGCAAACUUGCAUAUGGUGUUCUUUCUGUUCUUAUGUGAACAUUCAUGGGACCCACCCGGCACAAGCUUUGCAAUACUCUUAACGUUGUCACUAGUGUUUCCAACUCACUGAGGCUGACAUUCAUCUUUGUACAAAGCCCCCAGCAUAAUAAUAAUAAUAAAAGUGGGCCAAGAUAAUAAAAUAGGAGGCAUUACUUUCAGGGCAGCCCUUCUGUAAUAAGCUUAAAAAAUUAUAAUCUGAAUUCUUGAUUCUCAUCAGUAGAAGGUAAUCUUGACACAAACAUGUUACCCACACACAGUGAUGACUAUGACAACAUUUUUUUUUCACCUCUAGAAAUACGUGUCCUUAAUCAGCCUUGUGUUAAUACAGCGUCAAGGCAAGCACUAUCCAUGCCCUGAGCCAUGUAUCAAUAGAAAAAGAAGCAGAAUAAAGACAAUGUGAUUUCAAGACUUAUUUUCAGGGCAGUCUACAUACGGUAUGAACACAGAGGAACCAGUCAGUCUGCAUUUAAAUAGUUAAUUACAGAUAUUAAUGUCUACUCUGCUGUAUUAGAAAAAUAAAUGUAAUGGCUUUUCCUGCCAGGAGGGUGCUUCACAUAAUGGAUUGCUUUGCUGAUGUGACUAAAUACCUUUCUGAUAUUGAUCCACACAGAGGAGGAGAGAAAACCUAAGAAAACUCUUGAAGGUAUUAUAAAGCAGCCAGGGAGACAGAUCAGGGUUGUGGCAGCAGAACAGAAUUUAUGCAUUCAGAAUUGAUGCAAAAAGCACUUCUGAAACUGCCAAGUCUUUCCAGGAAGAGCCGACAGACAGACAGAGGAACUGUUUCUUCAUCUUGUAUGUGUCCUCAGCUCCACAUGUCCUGGAACAGACGGUUUAUUCCUUGCAUGCUGUGACCAAGGGAAGGUCUCCUCUUCUAUUCAGAUCUUCGGAGCAUAUUUUAGUAAUCCCUCACCUGGACAUGCUUGCUGUUAGGUGGUGCUAAGCCUCUGGAACAUGUUUGCAGAAGAGGAAACUCCAGUCUGGAUACAGCUACCCUUGCUCAUUUAUCCCCACCUGCAUCCCAGGCUGAAAGGAGUGAGGGAAGAGUACGAAGAAAAUGUUGGGAGAUCAUCAGACAAAAGGUCCUGAGCAGUUCGAGAUCUACUCGCCCUAAAGCCCUGAAGACCUCAUCCAGCUGGCUAUCAAGAAAAACCCACUAUAGAGUUGAAUUUAAUGGGGAAAUAUAAAAGAGAAGAUUAAAG